UUUCUCUUUAAAAAUGUUUCAUUUAUCAAAAGGAAAAAUAAAUUGAAUACAUAUGUUAAGCAUUUCUAAAUAAAUAAAAUAGAAGGUAAAACAUGGCGGGCACAUGUAGUCGCUCGCCAAAGUCAUUUCUUUGCUUUUGAAAAAUUUUCUUCUCUUGCCGUCGGGCCAACAGCAGCUCUGUAUUGAGUUUGACUACGUGCUAACUUGCUUUUCUGCUGCCCUGUGCCCACAGCUUUUGCCUUUCCACAUGCUUUAACGAAUAUUCAAUUUUCGUUUUCUUCAACAAAAAGAUAUUAAUUAUAUAAAGUAACAGAACCCCAAAUAGGAAGUAUGAUCCUAAAGGCUAAAGUCCAUUUCAUAAACGGCGUAGGCAAGAUGGACGAAUUUGCAGGGUUUUAGCAUCGACAAGAGAUGUUGAAAUUUGGAUAAGAUUGCUCCUGAUUAAUUGAUAUGAACCCAUUUAUUUUUAGGAGAAAAAAAAAGUAAUUUAAUUGUUUGGUAAUUGCAUGUAUACGAAAGCUUUUAUAUUGUUUUCUAUGUAUAAGAAUUAAGAAGAAAUGAUUGCUUUUUCAAGAUGGAUAAUUCCAUACGCAGCCGCAAGUGAUAGAAAUAGUAUCCGAC
rnacentral:lncRNA from 1 species